AAAGGAAUAGACGGGGACUCGCACAAGCGGUGGAGCAUGCGGUUUAAUUCGAUGCAACGCGAAGAACCUUACCAGGUCUUGACAUCUGAUUGCCAGGACUAGAGAUAGUCCCUUUCUUCGGAACAAUCAAGACAGGUGGUGCAUGGUUGUCGUCAGCUCGUGUCGUGAGAUGUUGGGUUAAGUCCCGCAACGAGCGCAACCCUUAUCAUUAGUUGCUAACAUUAAGUUGAGCACUCUAAUGAGACCGCCGGUGACAAACCGGAUGAAGGUGGGGAUGACGUCAAAUCAUCAUGCCCCUUAUGACCUGGGCUACACGCGUGCUACAAUGGCUGGUACAAAGGGUCGCGAUACCGCGAGGUGGAGCUAAUCUCGUAAAGCCAGUCUCAGUUCGGAUUGUAGUCUGCAACUCGACUACAUGAAGUUGGAAUCGCUAGUAAUCGUAAAUCAGAAUGUUACGGUGAAUACGUUCUCGAGUCUUGUACACACCGCCCGU
rnacentral:rRNA from 1 species